CCGGCCUCGAUUCUUUAAAAACGUCUGGGUAUGAAAGUGAGAAGGACUGAGGAACCUUCUAGAUUAAAGGAGAGUAAACAGACAUGGCCACUAAAUGGAGCAGAUCCUGUACUGGACAUGUAAGUGCUUAAAGGACACUAUUGGGACAAUUGACAAACAUGGGAUAUUGGAAGGUAAAUUAGAUGUUCCAUGAGUUACACUAAGCUCUCUGGGACCAGAGCUGUGGACAGCAGAGACCCGGGCCUUGCCUCCCAGAACUUCCACUGCAGGGGAUGUGAUGGACACUAGUGAGCAUAAGCGCUACGGAAGCACAAGGAGGGGCAUCUCAUCCAGACCAAGAGGACCCCGAUAUUCACAGAGGAGAACAAAGCCGCCUUCCCGAAGCUGUACUUUGGGUUUUGUUCUUGCUGAAGCCAUGAGAAGCCAGCAGCCCGCGUGCCUCUGUAGGUCAGAAACAAGGGCCCUUUGGCUCUGUCCAAAGAUCAUAAUCUUCGUAGUAACAAAGCAAUAUGCUUUCAGUUUUACUCAGUGCUUUCUCUUUCAUGAUCUCAUUUCAUUUACAGAGCAGACUUACGGAAUGUUGGAGACCCUGAUGGCUACAAUACUUGGGGAUUUCCACACCCUCUUUGGUGAAGUCCCAGGAAACUGUGAAGGAGCCAGGGGCCUGCCCUGUCGGGAGGAGCCCCCCUCCUCGGGGCAGGAAGCCGAGCUGGCUCAUUUCUCUGCCCUUUGCUCAGCCAACCAUGCCAACUGAGCUGCUUGCUUGCGCUUGUCCCAUAUAUUGCAGUUCCAGUGACAUUUCUCUUGAAAAGUAGAUCUUAUAGCUGGAAACAAAAGUUUGGAGACUAUUGAUCAGUGGCAAUACCUUCAUAUUUUUGGUAAAGAAAUGCAGGUCCAGAAAAGGAAAUCAUUGGUUUAAAAUCACAAAGUUAACAAGUAGCAGAGCAGAAACUAAGCUCCUGUCCUGGGUAUCAUUUCGGUUUCUACUCUAGGGCAUUCGAUUGCUGCAUCUGGCAAAACCAGUCACAGGAAAUGGAAAGGUCCAAUGUUCUGGCCCAAAAGGAGAGAAAAAUGACAAUAUUUUUUUUUAAAUCCCUGAAAGCUGAGGGUUCUGGCAUGCCCCUCCUCCCGUGUGCCUAUUGGGUCUGUGUUCCCUGAUGCUGAGAAGGCCCGGUGAGUCACCCCUCCCUCCCAGAGCCUCACUUUCCUCCCCGGAAACUGACCUGGGGAAGGUGGCUCACCACCAUCUCUUCUGGAUUCCAAAUGUGCUUCAGGUUAGGAAAUAACUAGCAACGUUUACCCCCGUCCUGACUAACUAAAGAUUGAAUACCAGGCUGAACUGAAAUCAUGGAUGGGAACAGUUUCUUUCUAAUGUAAAACCAUAAGAAGAACUCCUUAUGAUGUCCAAGUUGCUCCCAGCUGCGGUGCCAGGGAGCACAGAAAGACCUACAAUCACCUUCCCGGGAAGGGAGUCCAUUCCCACCCCCACCUCUCAUGCUUUCAAAAGCCACAGAAGGGAGAAAGACCCUAAGCUUCAUGAGGUUCCUUUGAGAAGGGGAACUCAGGUCUAUUUUAGCCCCUCCCUGUGAAGAAAUGGAGGGCUGAGUGGCACUCCCUGAGACCACUGCCACCAGAGUGACACUGCCUGCCAUCUAGAGGCACUAGGGCAGGAAAGGGAGGCCAGCAUGGUGGCUGAAGCUGAAUCACCAGCUCCAGGAGGGCAAAGGGUCAAUUACUUGCAAGCAUCAGCAGACUCAACACACUUUCGAACACAUCUCUUCCUCCUGUAGAAAAAAAUGAUGUUGCCUUAUAGCUUCCUCACCUCUAACUCCUUGGAAUGGAUUUCAUGCUAUCUGUUCCUUCCAUGCCAGUAAUCUCUCUCUCUCACUCUCUCUCUGGCCAAAAGAAUACCACUUUUUCCUGUUCAAACCUUGCAGAGUGCACCAAUUAUAUAUGUUAAAAAUGAUGACAACAGUGAAAUUACUGAAAACCAUAAAAAGCAAUUAAAAACUAAAACCUUGAAGUGCUGAUGCUCCAUGAAAUUAUACUGAUUUGAUAGAUUCCACAGUUGGACAUUGCCUUCCUCUGUCAUGUGAACAAAAUGUUAUCUUUUCAUUUUAAAAGCAGUGAUUAUAUCGGUAUUUUUUUAAUGACAUCUAUGGGUUGUUUCCUUUCUGUAAAUAUAGAAUGUUCAUUUGCAUAGUCACAAAGGAAAUUAGGAAAUGUCUACUCAAUUUUUACAGCUCAUGACGUGUACUAAUAUUCCCAGUUUCUUUUCUACUCUGCCUGGUUGAGCAAAAGAUAAAUUUGUGUCGCUGUUGUUUGUCAUAUUGCAAGAUGAUAAUGUUUACCAAAUAAGCAAAUGAAACGACCUAUCAAAUUUACAAAUGAACUGUAGGUUAGAGUUGACCAAAUGCCGUCACAUUUUUUUUUUUAAUGUACUUGUUUUGAAAUUAACCUAGGUUUUACUCUACUCUCUCACAGCUGCUGAAUCUGUGAACUUGAGCGUGUUACCUUACCUCUCUGAGCCCCACUUUCCGCAUAUGUAAAAUGGAGAUAGUACUAGUAUUCAUGGGAUCGUGGGGUGGACUGAGCAAGAAAAUAUGCAGUUUAGUGUGAUGCAUGCACUAUAGAGUAGGCCCUCAAUAACUGGGAUUUCCUUUAAUUUCACUAG
rnacentral:lncRNA from 1 species